UCAAAUCUCAUAAUAAAAAUCUCACACACAUUCACUGCACAAAUCCUAAAAGCUCUGAGCUCACAGAAUAAUUUUGAAAGAGUAAGUAAAAAAAAAAAUUAAUUUGAGCUCAGAUGUGAUUACCACAAACCCGAAGUAUAAAACCGAAGUGCAAACAUACCUAAAUAGGAAUUAGGAAUUACAAACAUUGUAGAAAUAAAUCAUAUAAUGCAAAUAAAAAGUGAACAGAAAAUUACUGUUUAAAAGAUAAAUUUUUUCAACUGCUUUCACUAAAUUGAAUCUGGUAUCUGGCUUGCUUCUUCAUUGAGCAUAAAUAUAAAGUUAGAAUUAUUAGCAUAAAUAUAAAGUUAGAAUUAUUCUUUGAGUGACCUAAUAUUUAUUCUUCAGUACUUUGGUUUUUAAAUUUACUGAAAAUUCCUCUGUAUUUAGAAAAUGGUUCGUUUUCCACAUGUUAACUCCUUACACAAAAUGACUUUUCCUAUCUACAAAAUGUGUUAUGAAUAUACUUUCUUUACUGAUCUUUUAAUGCAAGUAUCUAAACAACUGUUGUCUCUAUUUUAUAGGCAUACACAUCCCUGUGAUCAUGAGUCUGGCUCAAAGCCAAUUUAUAGCAAAUCAUCCAUUUCUGUUUAUUAUGAAGCAUAACCCAACAGAAUCAAUUUUGUUUAUGGGAAGAGUGACAAAUCCUGACACCCAGGAGAUAAAAGGAAGAGAUUUAGAUUCACUGUGAAUGAAAAGCACAGCCUCAGAAUAAAAGAUGAUUUCUCAAAAA
rnacentral:sRNA from 1 species